rnacentral:lncRNA from 1 species
CUCUACCAUCUGCCAAGAGCAGCUCAUUUUUAGUGCUGGAACGCACUGACAGGAUGAGGUUAGCUAGGGCAGUCAAUAAGACAUAGUCAAAGCUUUGUAUUCACACACAUCCAAGUAACGCUAAUAACCUGUGUGAACAGGAGAGCUUUCACGGCACUCUUCAGAACAGAAUGGUUUAACAACCAUGGGAGAAGGACAACGAAUCCCUGUUCCCCAGCUGCAGUCAUACAGCCACAUGAAAUUCAAAAUCAAUUGCAGCAUAAUGAGGAGAAAAGUUUGGAGAGGUAGAUGUAUAUACAUAUAUUUUAAGGAUUGUGUUUCCUGGUAGAUUUCAUCUUACAAUCAAACCAAAAAUAAACUAAAAAUCUGCCUUGAGCCCUGGAAGUAGAGCAGCAAGUCAUCAACUACUGUAUUGCAAAGGUGCAGCCACAGCUCUGCAGUGAAACCAGGACAAUGGAGGAGGAGGAGAAGACAAUUUCAGCAGUCCCUACAACAGGAAGCAAACAGAAUUUUUGUUACUUGUGCCACACCAUCAUUUUCUAAAUACCAUCAGUGACAAUGUGUAAACCAGUCUCUUCCAGUUCCCACAAACUCAGGGGCUCUCCACAGUCUCUCUACAGCUGAACACAGCGGAUUAUUUCCUGAAAUAUGCCUGGGCACAAAAUGCCGGUGGUGUCUUGUGUUGCAGCCAGAAACUUCUGUAAGUGACUUUUCUAGUCACUUGAGUGUUGUAAUGAGAAUAGAAAGGUUGUAAAGUUGUGAAGGUUAGUGGGAUUGCUGGUUAUUAUCAGACAUGCAACCUGGUAAUCAAUGACUGACAGGAUCUCUGAAGGGGAAUGCAUAACACAAGCAAGAACCUACCCCUCAAAUUGAAACUUGAUGACCGGUAAAAGACUUGUUAAGAUUCACAUCAGAAUUGAGAAUGUCGCUGCAACUGCUUCCAUGACAACAAAGUAUAAUGUCAUAAUGCAUAUUAUGAUUUCAUGCCAGGAUGAAGCCUGUGUAUUCAGGCAGCCUGAAGAGAUCACUUUUGGAAGUGGUUUGAGUGGGAACGGGUGCAGAGCCAUCUUGUAUGGACAGCCAGCCUUGCUGAUGUACUUCAGCCCUGUUCCUGUUUAGAAUCAUUCAGAGUGCGAAAUGCAGAAGACAGAAUUUAGGUUUCAUCUUGUGCAGCUGAGGCUGGUGCUUAGCUCUGGGAAAGGUGAGAGCGUGCCCAGGUCGUGCCCUGUUGCGCCUGCUCCCUGCCCACGCUUCCAUAGCCAAGAAGAGCAGCUCUGCUGGUCAACAUCUUGCAACAGCUGAAAUUGCCUCAGAGGUGGGAAAGGCUCAACUGAAAAAACUCACAAUGUUUCCUGACGGGUAAAAUUCUUCUGUAGUUACCAGAUAGUUCAAUUAUUGAAAUACAUAAGAAUUCACGUAAAUGGGAGGGAAUGACUAAUCAUGUUCUGCUCGUCUUACUGCCAUGGCUUUCCCUGUGGUAAAUUGUAAUCUAACCCAAAACAGUAAAUAAACACAUGGG